rnacentral:rRNA from 1 species
UACGUAGGGGGCAAGCGUUGUCCGGAAUCAUUGGGCGUAAAGAGCGUGUAGGCGGCCUGGUAAGUCCGCUGUGAAAGUCCAGGGCUCAACCCUGGAAUGCCGGUGGAAACUGUCAGGCUCGAGUCCGGAAGAGGCGAAUGGAAUUCCUGGUGUAGCGGUGAAAUGCGCAGAUAUCAGGAAGAACACCAACGGCGAAGGCAGCUCGCUGGGACGGUACUGACGCUGAGACGCGAAAGCGUGGGGAGCGAACAGG